rnacentral:rRNA from 1 species
GGGCCCGCACAAGCGGUGGAGCAUGUGGUUUAAUUCGAUGAUACGCGAGGAACCUUACCAGGGCUUAAAUGUAAGUUGCAUAAACUAGAGAUAGUUUUUCUUCGGACUACUUACAAGGUGCUGCAUGGUUGUCGUCAGCUCGUGCCGUGAGGUGUCAGGUUAAGUCCUAUAACGAGCGCAACCCCUAUCGUUAGUUGCCAACAGGUUAAGCUGGGAACUCUAACGAGACUGCCGGUGCAAACCGCGAGGAAGGUGGGGAUGACGUCAAAUCAUCACGGCCCUUACGUCCUGGGCUACACACGUGCUACAAUGGCCGGUACAGAGAGCAGCCACUCCGCGAGGAGGAGCGAAUCUAUAAAACCGGUCUCAGUUCGGAUCGCAGUCUGCAACUCGACUGCGUGAAGCUGGAAUCGCUAGUAAUCGGAUAU